rnacentral:siRNA from 1 species
UGGCUUGGUUCCACCGGAGU